CUCAGUAAAAAGACAGAAACUGAGAAAAUUCUAACUCUUUAAAAAUCAGCCAUUUUUGCCCGAGAGGAUGCAAGUUGAAAACGUCUUUGUUUUUUCACUCACAAUUUUAUUUCUGUUCUCACACCCCACCCUCCUUUACAUGAAUAUUAAGGACUAAGGCUUUAGCAACAGGCUUUUGGUUGUGGGGGAGAGAGGGGUAAAGGGAAAAGUGUUGUGCAUGGCUUUUCAUAUGCUAAUAAGUUGAUUCCAUGACAACCAUUGAAAAAAGAAGGGCUGGAAACAAAAGCUGCAGCCAGAGAGAGGAUCAGGGCUCUUUCAGGGACGCUGUAAGAAUAACAGCCAAGACUCCCUCCUCUGAAAGGUAUCUGGUGGCCGCUUGUCAAAGGGCUUUGUUUUAAUAGUGCAGAGUCAGUAUAUAAUUAAUGCAGACUUUUAUGAAUCCAGAUUUUACCCUCAACGUUGCUUCUAUUUUAAAAAGUAGUGAAUAAGAAUCUGAAACCAAGAGGAUGUGUCAAAUCACUUCUCUCAUAAAGUAUUGCAUUCAGUUAUAAUGCUGACUUUACUAAUAUUCUGUCCAGCCUUGUUUUUCUCUCAUGUGCAUUCCCCUGUCUUUGAUUGAAUUAUAUUAAAUUGAUACAGUGUUUUCUCUGUUUGGAUGGACACAAGAGCUUUCAUCACAAUGGAAUGCUUAUGGAAUUACAUAUUUCAAAGGACACUAACACGAAAAUACAACUUGAUUCAGAGACAGGUUACAAUGAUGAAUA
rnacentral:lncRNA from 1 species